rnacentral:sRNA from 1 species
UGCAGAUUGGGCUGGACACAGGCUACUGGACGGCCAUCAACCACUUCUUCAUCUGGGGAAGCCUUGCUGUUUACUUUGCCAUCCUCUUUGCCAUGCACAGCAAUGGGCUCUUCGACAUGUUUCCCAACCAGUUCCGGUUUGUGGGGAAUGCCCAGAACACCUUGGCCCAGCCCACGGUGUGGCUGACCAUUGUGCUCACCACGGUCGUCUGCAUCAUGCCCGUGGUUGCCUUCCGAUUCCUCAGGCUCAACCUGAAGCCGGAUCUCUCCGACACGGUCCGCUACACACAGCUCGUGAGGAAGAAGCAGAAGGCCCAGCACCGCUGCAUGCGGCGGGUUGGCCGCACUGGCUCCCGGCGCUCCGGCUAUGCCUUCUCCCAUCAGGAGGGCUUCGGGGAGCUCAUCAUGUCUGGCAAGAACAUGCGGCUGAGCUCUCUCGCGCUCUCCAGCUUCACCACCCGCUCCAGCUCCAGCUGGAUUGAGAGCCUGCGCAGGAAGAAGAGUGACAGUGCCAGUAGCCCCAGUGGCGGUGCCGACAAGCCCCUCAAGGGUUGAAGGCCGAGGAUGGAUGCCCUGUGCCAGUGACCAGAGCACCCAGGGCUGGCCAGUCACUGAGGGAACAGCGUCUCGGAACUGCUGGUCCUCAUUCCUUGCUUCCCGUCCCCCCGGUAGACUCUGUCCUGCUGGUCCCACCACACAUGGCUGGGACAUCUGUUCCCAGCUGUAGGCCCUUCCACCAGCUGGGGAGCUAGAGGGAGCAGGCCCAAGGGCAGAGCAGAGGCUGAGGCACGGGGAGCCAGCCCCACUCGGGGACCAGAAGUGGAACCAAAAACAAGAAAAAACUGUGAGAGAUUGUGUCUGCCCCUGCCCUGCCUGGGACCCACGGGGAGACUAUA